UACGUAGGGUGCAAGCGUUAAUCGGAAUUACUGGGCGUAAAGCGUGCGCAGGCGGUUAUAUAAGACAGUUGUGAAAUCCCCGGGCUCAACCUGGGAACUGCAUCUGUGACUGUAUAGCUAGAGUACGGUAGAGGGGGAUGGAAUUCCGCGUGUAGCAGUGAAAUGCGUAGAUAUGCGGAGGAACACCGAUGGCGAAGGCAAUCCCUGGACCUGUACUGACGCUCAUGCACG
rnacentral:rRNA from 1 species